rnacentral:rRNA from 1 species
UACGUAGGGUGCAAGCGUUGUCCGGAAUUAUUGGGCGUAAAGAGCUCGUAGGCGGUUUGUCGCGUCGACUGUGAAGACCUGGGGCUUAACUCUGGGCCUGCAGUCGAUACGGGCAGACUUGAGUUCGGUAGGGGAGACUGGAAUUCCUGGUGUAGCGGUGAAAUGCGCAGAUAUCAGGAGGAACACCGGUGGCGAAGGCGGGUCUCUGGGCCGAUACUGACGCUGAGGAGCGAAAGCGUGGGGAGCGAACAGG